GAUGAAGAACGCAGCGAAAUGCGAUAAGUAAUGUGAAUUGCAGAAUUCAGUGAAUCAUCGAAUCUUUGAACGCACAUUGCGCCCGCCAGCAUUCUGGCGGGCAUGCCUGUUCGAGCGUCAUUUCAACCCUCGCAGCCCAUCUGGGCAGCGGUGUUGGGGACCGGCACCACCGGCGAAGCCCUUAGGGGCCCAGCCGGCGCCGCCCCCGAAAUACAGUGGCGGUCUCGCUGCAGCCUCCCUUGCGUAGUAGCACACCUCGCACCGGAGCGCAGCGCGGCCACGCCGUAAAACCCCCGACUUUCUGAGUUUGACCUCGAAUCAGGUAGGAAUACCCGCUGAACUUAAGCAUAUCAUAAGCGGAGGA
rnacentral:misc_RNA from 1 species